rnacentral:lncRNA from 1 species
AAUACCAAACACCCAUUUACAAACACAAAGGGUUUAAAUACAACACUGGACUUUCUACAAAAUAGACCAGCUCGACGAAAUGGGAACUAUCCUACAACCGACUAGCAGGACACGCUCUCCAACCCUUAUGACUUCACCUCUGCAACUCCUCAAGGCCAACCAAAGCUAUCUGGCCACUCCGUCCAUCGGGGACCUGAAAUUUUAAUCCCACAACCGGGAUGAGACGAUGUCUCAGCAAGUUCAACCCCCUAAACCCCUAUUAGAAAGAAAAUACGCCCCGGGUGGCCUAGCCACAUCACACAGAAGACUUACCUCGCCUCAGCCUUCAUCUGCAGGUUAGCACAAUUUAUAUAAUCCAACCACGUACAAUUAUGAUAACCAAACAACCAUGUCACCAUCACAUUAUCCAGACAAUUCAACCACUUGGAUCGUCACAGCGAUCAAUCGACUCGGCCGAUUACAUGUCAUUCUAGCAAAUCAAUCAUUGCUCUCAACUACGGCCCUACUCGGCAAAUUUGAAUCAGUGGCAUCACGGCCCCACUCGGCGCGACCUUUAAUAGGUGGCAAUUCACGGCCCCAUUGGGCGCGACCUCUAAUAGGUGGCAUAUCACGGUCUCAUCGGGCACGACCUCUAAUAGGUGGUUUAUCACGGCCUCACUGGGCACGACCUCUCAUAGGUGGUAUUUCACGGCCUCAUCGGGCACGACCUCUUGUAGGUGGUAUUUCACGGCCUCAUCGGGCACGACCCUUCCUAGGUGGUUAAUCACGGCCUCAUCGGGCACGACCUUUCCUAGGUGGUAUUUCACGGCCUCACUGGGCACAACCUCUAAUAGGUGGUCAAUCACAUCCAAUCUCCCAUCAAUUUCUACACUUAGGAUUUCAUAAAGAAUCCCUAUAAAUCGCAAUCACACUCAAUUCAUCACAACCAAUCAUCAAUAUCAAAUUCUAAAUACACAGCAACGAUCAGCACGAAAGUAUGGGAGAAUAAGGUUCCAGAAUAAUUUUCGGAAUUUAUUAAAUAAUUAAAUUUAUUCCGAAAUUAAUUAAAUAAUAAUAUUCAUACUUUUCAUGAUCCAAGCUCAAUUUAUAAAAUCCAAUCAUCAAUUUCAAAAUCUGAAUGUACCAUAGCGACCGGCACGAAAUUCUGAGCAACCGGGGCCAAAAAUAAUUUUUCUGAUUUUUUUUUAAAUAAUAAUAUUUUAAUAAUUUCGGAUUAUAAUAUAAUAUAAUAUUUUCCAGAAUUUCGAAGCACUUAAAUAAUUCAAAACUAAAAAUCAUUUUGUGUCACAUCAAGGCUUAACUUUAAAUAAACUCUCUUAGCAUUUAAUUAAACAUACUUUAGAUUAAACAAACAUCUUAAUCUAAAUCAUAAUUAAAUCAACUAAAUUAACCACCUAAGCUUAAUCAACUUAAGCUAAGCACACCUAAAGCAUAAUUAACCCUCUAAGCGAGGUUUAGUGAGCUAAACUCACCGGAUUAGCGAGCCGAGUAGACCAAAAUGACGGGGAUGACGCGAGGAUCGACUUUCCUCAAAGCGGGCCGAGCAUCCGGGCUCGGGAAGGCGGCCAAAACGUGCCAAACACCUGCUGCCAUACCCAUUUUUCCAGAUUCUGCUUGCUUCUGGUUGGGGGCGAAGGAGGGCGGAUCCGGGGCCGGCUUAGGUCGAAAACGGGCGGAGGAGCUGCGGCGGUGCUGCACGGCCAACGGCGGGGCCUCACGGCGGCGGGGACGAGCUCCGGCAGCUCCUCGAACGCACGAACCGAGGCUGAGACGCAGCUGGGCGUCGGCCAAGUGCGGGCGAGCGCGGGCAACGGCGGAGCGCGAGACGGUGAGCGGCGACGGGCGGAGGCGUGCGACUGCUCCGACGGUGCUGCUUCGGCGUCCAUCCCAUAUCUGGGAUCUCGAGCAGCAAACGAAGAUGGAGAGAAGGCUUCGACGGUGAGCGGACGCACGGCUGCGCGCGCGAGCGGCGGCGACAACGACGGCACCGGCGGCGAGUGACGAGCGGCGAAGGAGGCGGACAGCGAGGGACUGCUUCGGCUUCUUCCUCUGAAAUUUUCUGGUCUUUCGCACAAAGAAGAUGGAGGAGAAACCAACGGAAGGGAGAAGGAGACAAGAGGGAGGAGAGAGAAGGAGGGGGGGCCAUUUUUAUUUUCUUUUUCUCUUUCUUUAAUCCCACACAUUGGCCCACCAUGACAUCAUCAAGUGAUGUCAUACCCCACUAUCCCCAAACCUCUCACAACCUUUUCCAAUGGUUGCAAUUCCAUUUUCCGCCGAGGUCCAAUUCUUGUACACUAAUUUCUCCAAUUCCAUUCAAUUCUCUUCCAAUUGAGUCCAAUUGAAGUUCAUAAAAUUAAUCCAAUGUCACCACACUUCAAUUCACAUCUUCACUUGUCCAUAGAACCAACUUAAGUCCCAAAAGUACGACCAAAAGCGGGCCUACUAAUUUCUCGAGCCAAAUUAGCCAUUCUCUGAUUAUUUUGCUAAAAACUCAGCUUACAUGAAAAAUCUUCCAAAGAUUAGUCAAUAUUCCUAAAAUGAUUUGUGACACACCCAGACUUCCAAUUUCUGAAUUUGAUCUCAAUUUCACGGUUAAUUUCACUUUGGCACGAUAUUAGUGCGGUCCAACCUACCGGGUAGCCUUUAGAAAUUUUCCUGCAUUUGACAUGUGGUUGAUCAUCUCAAGCCACAAUGUACAUCUUUGAAACAUUGGCGACUUUCGGUUGUCGGGGCAAUCUCAAGGUUUCAAAUACGAACACAGGGUACCCAAUCGAUAGAAAAGUCGGUCUAGUGCCGAUCGACAAGAAUUGUGCGAUCCGGUGGAAUCACCCACACCUGAUCACAUGCCUCUGUCGAGUCGUCCUAUCUCCGAUCCCUAAUCGAUCUUUAAUUGUGCCGUAAUGACCCUUGCAGAUUAGCUCGGUCGAAAGGUCGUUUCCUGAUCAAAUUCUCGAGUUUGAUGCAUAAUAAACUCUUAACAGCUUCACCCGAUAGACUAGCUUUCACAUGAGUGGCCGACUCAAGGAAAAGAACUAUAUGCGUGCCAACGAAAUGCCCGUCUCAAUUUAUUGAAAAAUAGACUUGGAAAAUCGGGAUGUCACAACUCUUCCCCUCUUAUAAAAAUUUCGUCCUCGAAAUUUAAACCUUUACCACUUCUUAAAGAAAAAGGUGGGGGUACAGUCGUCUCAUCUAUUAUUCUCUUUCUCAGGUUGCUCCUUCUGCACCAAUACUGCAAGAUCACUGCUAUCUUGCCCAAACCACUUCGGAUUCAAAAUACUAAACGCUUGCCCACUUAAAAUUCCAAAGGCCUUCAACACAAAAUCUGCGAAGCUAAACUGGCGAUUCUGAGCAGUCUCUAAACUGUCUCUGAUAAUUGCAACUGAAUCACUGAUUUCUGAACCAACUCUGAACCUGCGAUUUUCUAAUCUCUAAUCUCAUCUCAACCAAUUGAAGUUCUGAACCCUCUGCUCUACACUGACUAAAAGGAAACUAUUUAACUGAUCUGCUGAAACUAGGAACCUCUGGUCAAGAUCUGAUAUAACUCUGACCCUGAUCUCGGCAACUGCAAUCACUGACCACUGUACAGACCCUGGACUGUGAUCUUUCUUUCCCUGGCUUCAUCUCGGCAAUCGAAAUCCCGUACUCUCUACUAUGCACUGCUUAAGAAAGAACCAUCCGAAAGCUCUACCAACUUGGAACAUCUGAUCUAGAUUCGAAAUACAAUUCAUCCCCGACACUCCAUGCAGAUGAUUUAUAUGAUAUACACACACUUCGGUGUACCCAUUUUCUGACAAGACAGAAUCUCCAAUUUCUAAAAUCGAAUUUAGAUUGGCGGUUAAUUUCACUCCGACACGCUUUUAGUGUGACAUAGGCUAUUAGGUAGUUUUCAGAGCUUUUUAGGACAAAUGACCCGUGGUCGAUUUUCUUCGAUCCACGAUGAACCCACUCGACACAUUGGCGACUCUCGAGGGUCGUGAAAAUCUCGAUGAUUCAAAUACGGACACAGGGUACCAAAACGACAGUAAAAUCAAAUUAGUAUAAGUCGACGAGAGUUUUCCAAUUUAGUGGAGUCACCCACAAUCGGUCAUUCAUCUUAGUCGAACCGACCUAUCUCUGAUCUUAAUUCGUUAACUGUGCCGUAUUGCUCUCUAAAGAUGAGCACGGUCGAGAAGUCGAUUCCUAGUCGAAUUGUCAAGUCUAUUUUCCUUAAGUCCUUAAUAACUCACCCAACUAGUCUAGUUAUCUCGUAAGUGGCCAACUCAGAGAAAAACACUGUAAUCGCGUCGAUGAAAUGCCCAAUUUAACCAAUCGAAAUCAGAGUCUGAAAAUCAACCUCUCUCUCAUCUGCAUUCUCUUACAGAGUCUUUUGAAUUUCUAAAUCUGUCCACUGAAGCACUUUGGUUCUGAUAUGUACUCUCGGUUCAAUUCUGAGGGCAAUCAUAAGAUUCAAAAGGUGGCCUACCUUAGAUUUGGAUACCAAAUUUUGAACUUUCUCAAAUAAGAUCUAAUCCUUGAGUACCAACUGUGCAACUAAAAACUCUCGACUCAAUGCAUCUGCGACUUUGCUCACCUUUCCAGAGUGAUACAAAAUAUCAUGGUCAUAAUCCUUAAUAAGUUCCAUCCAACGACGACAUCUCAUAUUCAACUCCUAAGGCCUCAACUGACAGGACGCAUAUGCAACAACUCUAUCAUGAUGUAUCAACACAUAACCCAAUCCCUUAAACGGCGCAUCACGGUAGAUCUCAAACUUUCAGGACCAGAUGGAAUGGUCAGCACAGGUGCGGUAGUCAGCUUCUGCUUAAGCUCUUGAAAACUACGCUCGCACUCAUCUGUCCACACAAACUUUUCUUACUUCCUCAGUAGUCGAGUCAACUACAACGCUGACGCUGAAAUCCCUUCCUCAAAACUUCUGUAAUAUCCUGCUAAUCCCCAAAAACUUCUAAUCUCUGUCACUGUCGUCAGUCUCGGCCAACUAUUCACUGCUCCAAUCUUAGAUGGGGUCUACGGAGAUUUCUUCGCCUGAAAUCACGUGACCUAGGAGCGCAAUACGAGUCAUCCAAAACUCACAUUUGUUAAACCUAUCGUAAGAUUCAAAAGUACUCAAAGUCUGAAGUAUCAUCCCCAAAUGUCUCUCGUGCUCCUCAGCACUCUUUGAACACACCGGGAUAACUUCACUGAGCACAAUCACAACUGAUUCAAGUACCCUCAAACAUUCUGCUCAUUAGACCCAACAAAUAGCUAAGGUGUCUAUUAAACCACACAACAUUACAGUGAACUCAUAACUACUGUAUCGAGUGCGAGGUCUUAACUUUGGUAUGUCUUUCUUCCUGAUUCUCAACUGAUGAUACCCUGACCUCAAGUCGAUCUUGAAGAAUGUCGAUGUACAACCACAACGAACCACAUUUCUCCUUUAUGAAUAGAACUGAUGCUCCCCAAGGUGAUGCACUAGAAAGUAUGAAUCCCUUAUCCAACACUUUCUGCAUCGACACCUUCAGUUCUUUUAACUCGGGUAACACCAUCUGGUAAGGAGCCUUAGGGACUGGCUUUGUUCCGGGUGCUAAUUCAAUCGCGAACUCCAUUUCUCUUUCUGACUGCAAACUUGACAAUUCUUCAGCAAAUACCUUAGAAAACUUAUGUACCACGGUUACGUUCUCCAUAUUUGGCUCCUCAAUUGACGCAUCCAUUACAGUUGCCAUGUAGAUUCGAUAACCAAUAACCAGAACCAAGUCAUCUUUGGUGACGAAUAACAAGGAUCGAAGUUCCCCUUCGGCUUUCAGUAAUUCAAAACUUUCAUACGCUAACUAAACAAACUGAAUUAUAUCACUGCCACGAUUCAUAACAGCAUAAAGCUCCUCGAGCCAAACCUUUUCAUAAAUGACUCCCAAGUCAUACAUAAGCAACCCAUCAGGUACAACUAUAGUCAAAUACUCAUCUUCCUAUUACUUUAUUACAACAACGGAAACUCCACAACCUUUCUCAAAAUUCUGUUGCGCUAUUUUGAUAAAACACCUCAAAACAUUCUUCCAUUGAUUAAUGCAUAGUCAAUCCAUUAUUAUUCCUUUCGCCAUCCUAGUGGCGUUCUAUCUGCAGUAACAGUGCUUACACUCUCCUGAACUUACACGGACAGUUCCUAACCUGACGGUCGUGCUGGCCACAUUCAAAUCAUGUUCCCUUUUUUACUCUGACACUAGGCUGACUCAUGCCUCCUUUCCACUGACUCGGCACACAAUCAAGGAGUCAUUUACCUCCUAUUAAGGAAUAUCAUGCACCCUUCUUUGCACUGGGGUCUAUUCCAAGUACCCCGCUAAAUGUCCCGAAGCAUGUUUCCCCUGUUCUGUCUUAUCAACAACGAUGCAGAAACAGCUAUAGUUCCAUCCAUCUAUACGAGCCAUCUUUGAUCAAAUGGCUUUACUGGCGACACCCGUAACAAGUCCUUUCCCUCUUACAGCAUGGAACGAAUCCAUGUCUUUUCUUAUAGACACGACACGCAUCGAUCGAGUUGAGCACUGACUUUCCAACUCUACUCUUCUGGUUGGGUGCAACAGGGCAUCUUUCUUCUGACAUCGGCCUUUCUCUCCAACCGAUUUUCAUCUCUGUCUAAACUGAACCUUGACUCAGAUACAGAGACUUGAUCCUCGAUCACAACUCCAUAUUAGGCCUCAACAGGCGCGGCAGUAACAACAGCGGUCACCAUACUGGCAGCGGUAGAAACAACGGCAACAGCAACAGCUCGGUCCUGAGCUCACUGACCCAACAAGCUUCCAAGGAACACUAGCGCCUUAACGAUCCCAUUAAACCUAGGAUCGCUUAGUGCUGCUACACUCUCAGUACCAGCCUACGGCGGUACUCUCACACACACGCUGGACUAAGCCUGCGCUCUACCUCGGGUACCAACUCUUGUCAACAUCCUACCCCGAGGUACAGGUCCUAUCGACCUCUUCCAAGGAGUCCUCCACUCCUGGUCACUCAUCUUACAGGUUCCUUAUAGACACCUGUUUUCCGAUUCCAACAUCAGGUUGAAAUUUGAGUGACCCCACAAACAAGCUACCAAUCAGCUAUCACUCACAUGCAUCAGCAUAUUAAAAGCCUUUCCUACUAACUAUCCCAUGACUCAUCGCACCUUAUUACUCCAUACCCAAACCAUGCUCUGAUACCACUUAAACGGGGAUGUCACGCCCCGAACCCCGAGCGCGCGCACAUCCCACUGCGGUCGAUCAAAAUGCGACAUCCCAGGAUAUGUCGCCGACCCAUUCAUUCCUUUACGCAUGCGGAAGCGAAACAAAUCCCCUGACAACAUUUAACUUGGGAUAGAAAAGCAGGCAAUCAAUCACAAUACCAAACACCCAUUUACAAACACAAAGGGUUUAAAUACAACACUGGACUUUCUACAAAAUAGACCAGCUCGACGAAAUGGGAACUAUCCUACAACCGACUAGCAGGACACGCUCUCCAACCCUUAUGACUUCACCUCUGCAACUCCUCAAGGCCAACCAAAGCUAUCUGGCCACUCCGUCCAUCGGGGACCUGAAAUUUUAAUCCCACAACCGGGAUGAGACAAUGUCUCAGCAAGUUCAACCCCCUAAACCCCUAUUAGAAAGAAAAUACGCCCCGGGUGGCCUAGCCACAUCACACAGAAGACUUACCUCGCCUC